CCUCCGCACCAGUACUACCCGGAAGAGGACCCCCCCGCCCCCACCGGAGGGUGCCUGAGCUCUCGGAACUACACCACCCGGAAGAGCCUGGGCACCGAAGGCGCACGAGGGGCCAAUGAGGGCACAGGACGCGGCGUUACUACGCGGGCGCAAUCCUCGGGGGCGGGACUUCCCGCCUCAUCUCGCGUAGGUAUUUUGCCUCUGGUUGAGUCCGUUUAUCCUGUAAGGUUUGGGUUCAGAGUCGGGGUGACUAACCCUGAACACCCGAAGGCACGUGCUGUCUUCGUCGCACCCAAUGGGGGCCGGGCCCCGGACCGCCUCUCGAGUCCAAUGACAGCGGCCGCGCCCAGGGCCCCGACACAGUCGCUCAUCCCCCGGACCCUCCCCGCGCUCCCUGCACCCAGACCCCUAAGGCCCGAGCGCGGGGCGCCUGCUCCUGGCCCUACGGCCCCGGCCCCGCCCCGGCGUUCCGGACAGGGAGGCGCCGGUGUGCGGGGUCCCCGCGGGUGCCGCGCGGCCAGUGAGCCUGCGCCCUCGCUGCCUGACGGGGCCGUCUGUCUUGGCGGUGCUGAGAGGGGGGCGACCCGCGUGUACAUAGGCUUUAUCUGGCCGCAGAGAAGGGCACACCCCGCGGGGUAAGCGAGGAGGAAGAAUCGCAGUAGUCGGUGGAUUGUUGAUGGACUCCGUGGCCACCGUGGACGUGGUGAACCGGUUGACUCUGGUCUAUGUCUUGAGAAGGGCCGAGGCCGAUGUGAGUGUUGUAGGUGAGAAAAGGAAGGAAGGAGUCAGGGCAAACCCCAGGGCCUUCGUUACGUGAACCUUAAAAAGUGCCAGUUCCCCGCAAAAAUGGAUUGAUGUAGGAGCGACAGAGAACUGCGGUUUGGAAUAAAGCAGCUGAGUCAAAAUAGCGGGCCAGUGUGGAGAACAAGAGAGAGGUAGUCUAUUUUAAGGGAAAGGGGGGAAGUUGGGGAGGCUGUUGUAAACUACAAGUCCACUGGAGUAAGUUGGGAGUUGCGGCUUCUCAUUGGCUGAGGUCUUGGGUGCGGUGAUCAGGAAAGCCUGUCUUUUUGGGGUCUGAGGUAGUGAAGUCGGUCCCAUAUAAGGUCAAUCCCAUCGCUUUCUGUUGGGCCUGCAGUUGAUCACAUUGGUAGUGCCUGAGAGCUCCCCGAAGUGCAACCUCCCGACUCCAGUUUAGUGAGGUUUUCCGUUAUGAAUAGCAGCGGAAGGGAUUGAAGCACCCGUGAACCUGAUGGAAGUUGGCAGUAUGUUGAUUAUCCUUGGGGUGUCCUAACUUGUCUUGACAUGGUUAAGCAUCUUAGAUGUCUUAGGGAAGUGUGAGUGAUGGUGUGGAGUGGGCAGCUGGACAGGACAUUUUGGGAAACUGGGGGGAAGUUGCAGAUUGGAGGCUUCCCAAAGUGAUGGCUGUUGUGCGGAGCAGGGGGAGAAUUGGGUCCCAUUUAGGAAGGGCAUGCAGGGACGCCUGGGUGGCUCAGGGUUUAGCGCCUGUCUUCGGCCCAGGGUGUGAUCCUGGAGUCCCGGGAUGGAGUCCCACAUCAGGCUCCCUGCGUGGAGCCUGCUUCUCCCUCUGCCUAUGCCUCUGCCUGUCUCUGUCUCUGUGUCUCUCAUGAAUAAGUAAAGAAAAUCUUUUUUUAAAAAAAGGAAGGGAAUGCAGAGAAUAUUGGCAGUGCUAUUAGUAGGUCACUGGGUCCUACUAAACUGUGCUGAAGAGUGGUUCUGUUGUUCAGCGUGAGUUUGUAUAGUUGCUGGGCAUUGCGAACACAGGUGAAGGUAGAGAGAAUGAUCUGGCAGUCAGAUGGGCAAGCCUUCCACGGGAUGAUGGAUGGAACAAGAGAUAGCAGAGGACAACUGGGAGUUUUGGAGUUUUUUUGUUUUUGUUUUUGUCUGUCUGUUUUAAGGCGGCCCCAUGCCCUUGUGGAGCCCAAAAUGAGACUUGACCUCUGGACUCUGAGAUCAAGAGUCAAAUGCUGAACCUACGAGUGUUUGGGAAACAGGGGCUACUAUCUUACCAGUUUUGUAGGGCUUCACCAGAAUUUUGGGAUCAGCUUUUACCAUAUUUGGGGUCUUUCAAAGUCUUGCUGCUGGAUAAGGUCUGGGCAGAUGUGAUCAUUGCUGCUUCACUGUGCCUGGCAGGGAGACCUUUAGUGCUGGGGUCUUCACAACGGUUCAGUGGACAGUGCUGGGUUCUGAUGGUUGAGGGACAGCAUGGGCAGCACAGAAGUAGAAGAGGGUCUGUGAGUAUCCUAAGUUGACAUGUGCUUGUGAGUGCCUGUCAUUGAAGGGAGGAUCACAGGCAGGUUGAGGAGGGCUUCUCAGCAGCAUCUGAGGCUUUCCCUCAGUUGGGAUCCAUGAGAGUCCUGGGGUGGUAGUGGAGCCAUCAAACAUCCUUUGGAUGACCUGUGACGAGUACAAGAGUGAGUGGUGGGAGAAUCGUGUGGUGUGGGGGCAGGAAGGCGUGGGCGUUCAUCUGUGGGGUCUGAAGACAGGAGAGAGGUACAGUCUACAGAAUCAUGUGCACAUGGAUAGGAAGUGUGAGCCAAGGACCUCAGGGUCCUGAUAUUGAGGACUCUCUGGUAAAGCCAGGGCCCAUACCUGGCUGUCUCAGGGCAUAAUCUGGGAGAACCUGCAUUGGGAAUAUCGUGACAGGAGGAUGGGACCUUGCAGGCCACGCCCAGAGCUUAGAUUGCACCUACAUGUCCCGUGUCUGUUACUACUGAGGACUGAACAGUGAUUGACGGGAAGGUGAGAGGAGUGCAGCAUUAGCGGCACCAGGACCUGGCAUUUAUCUUACAGUGGGGAGCUGAGGUGGCAGGGGAGACUGGGGUGCUGUGGGGGGGGGGGGGUUGGGUUGUGGGUUUUCAGAGAGAGAGAGAAUUUUCAUGGUUCCAUCUGUCGCUCUCCUGA
rnacentral:lncRNA from 1 species